AUUGAACGCUGGCGGCAGGCCUAACACAUGCAAGUCGAGCGGCAGCGCGGGGCAACCUGGCGGCGAGCGGCGAACGGGUGAGUAACGCGUAGGAAUCUGCCUGGUAGUGGGGGACAACGUUCCGAAAGGAACGCUAAUACCGCAUACGCCCUACGGGGGAAAGUGGGGGAUCUUCGGACCUCACGCUAUCAGAGGAGCCU
rnacentral:rRNA from 1 species